CGGGAUUGAAAUGUAGGCGACGUAUUUGGAGACAGAUAUUUCCUUCGGGACGCCUAUGUAGGUGCUGCAUGGUUGUCGUCAGCUCGUGCCGUGAGGUGUCGGCUUAAGUGCCAUAACGAGCGCAACCCACAUCAUUAGUUACUAACAGGUUAAGCUGAGGACUCUAAUGAGACUGCCGGCGUAAGCCGCGAGGAAGGUGUGGAUGACGUCAAAUCAGCACGGCCCUUACAUCCGGGGCGACACACGUGUUACAAUGGUAAGGACAGAGGGCAGCUACCUGGCGACAGGAUGCAAAUCUCGAAACCUUAUCCCAGUUCGGAUUGGAGUCUGCAACUCGACUCUAUGAAGCUGGAUUCGCUAGUAAUCGCGCAUCAGCCAUGGCGCGGUGAAUACGUUCCCGGGCC
rnacentral:rRNA from 1 species